UACGGGGGGGGGCAAGCGUUGUUCGGAAUUACUGGGCGUAAAGGGCUCGUAGGCGGCCCACUAAGUCCGACGUGAAAUCCCCAGGCUUAACUUGGGAACUGCGUCGGAUACUGGUGGGCUUGAAUCCGGGAGAGGGAUGCGGAAUUCCAGGUGUAGCGGUGAAAUGCGUAGAUAUCUGGAGGAACACCGGUGGCGAAGGCGGCAUCCUGGACCGGCAUUGACGCUGAGGAGCGAAAGCCAGGGGAGCAAACGGGG
rnacentral:rRNA from 1 species